rnacentral:tRNA from 1 species
GCUCCUAUCGGCUAACGGUUAGGCCGCCAGACUUUCAAUCUGGAAAUCCGAGUUCGAUUCUCGGUAGGAGUACCA